rnacentral:rRNA from 1 species
AACGAACGCUGGCGGCAGGCCUAACACAUGCAAGUCGAACGCUCGUAGCAAUACGGGAGUGGCAGACGGGUGAGUAACACGUGGGAACCUACCCUUUGGUUCGGAAUAGCCCAGGGAAACUUGGGGUAAUACCGGAUAAGCCCUUCGGGGAAAGAUUUAUCGCCGAAGGAUGGGCCCGUGUCGGAUUAGCUAGUUGGUGGGGUAACGGCCUACCAAGGCGACGAUCCGUAGCUGGUCUGAGAGGAUGAUCAGCCACACUGGGAACUGAGACACGGCCCAGACUCCUACGGGAGGCAGCAGUGGGGAAUAUUGGACAAUGGGCGCGAAGCCUGAUCCAGCCAUGCCGCGUGAGUGACGAAGGUCUUA